rnacentral:rRNA from 1 species
UAGGGAAUCUUCCACAAUGGACGCAAGUCUGAUGGAGCAACGCCGCGUGAGUGAAGAAGGUUUUCGGAUCGUAAAGCUCUGUUGUUGGUGAAGAAGGAUAGAGGCAGUAACUGGUCUUUAUUUGACGGUAAUCAACCAGAAAGUCACGGCUAACUACGUGCCAGCAGCCGCGGUAAUACGUAGGUGGCAAGCGUUGUCCGGAUUUAUUGGGCGUAAAGCGAGCGCAGGCGGAAUGAUAAGUCUGAUGUGAAAGCCCACGGCUCAACCGUGGAACUGCAUCGGAAACUGUCAUUCUGGAGUGCAGAAGAGGAGAGUGGAAUUCCAUGUGUAGCGGUGGAAUGCGUAGAUAUAUGGAAGAACACAAGUGGCGAAGGCGGCUCUCUGGUCUGCAACUGACGCUGAGGCUCGAAAGCAUGGGUAGCGAACAGG